UACGUGCCAGCAGCCGCGGUAAUACGUAGGUGGCAAGCGUUGUCCGGAAAUAUUGGGCGUAAAGCGCGCGCAGGCGGUUUCUUAAGUCUGAUGUGAAAGCCCCCGGCUCAACCGGGGAGGGUCAUUGGAAACUGGGAAACUUGAGUGCAGAAGAGGAGAGUGGAAUUCCACGUGUAGCGGUGAAAUGCGUAGAGAUGUGGAGGAACACCAGUGGCGAAGGCGACUCUCUGGUCUGUAACUGACGCUGAGGCGCGAAAGCGUGGGGAGCGAACAGGAUUAGAUACCCUGGUAGUCCACGCCGUAAACGAUGAGUGCUAAGUGUUAGAGGGUUUCCGCCCUUUAGUGCUGCAGCUAACGCAUUAAGCACUCCGCCUGGGGAGUACGGUCGCAAGACUGAAACUCAAAGGAAUUGACGGGGGCCCGCACAAGCGGUGGAGCAUGUGGUUUAAUUCGAAGCAACGCGAAGAACCUUACCAGGUCUUGACAUCCUUUGCCACUUCUAGAGAUAGAAGGUUCCCCUUCGGGGGACAAAGUGACAGGUGGUGCAUGGUUGUCGUCAGCUCGUGUCGUGAGAUGUUGGGUUAAGUCCCGCAACGAGCGCAACCCUUGAUCUUAGUUGCCAGCAUUCAGUUGGGCACUCUAAGGUGACUGCCGGUGACAAACCGGAGGAAGGUGGGGAUGACGUCAAAUCAUCAUGCCCCUUAUGACCUGGGCUACACACGUGCUACAAUGGAUGGUACAAAGGGCUGCGAGACCGCGAGGUUUAGCCAAUCCCAUAAAACCAUUCUCAGUUCGGAUUGCAGGCUGCAACUCGCCUGCAUGAAGCUGGAAUCGCUAGUAAUCGCGGAUCAGCAUGCCGCGGUGAAUACGUUCCCGGGCCUUGUACACACCGCCCGUCACACCACGAGAGUUUGCAACACCCGAAGUCGGUGGGGUAACCGCAAGGAGCCAGCCGCCUAAGGUGGGGUAGAUGAUUGGGGUGAAGUCGA
rnacentral:rRNA from 2 species